rnacentral:rRNA from 1 species
GAUUGAACGCUGGCGGUAUGCUUAACACAUGCAAGUCGAACGGAAACGAUACUAGCUUGCUAGUAGGCGUCGAGUGGCGGACGGGUGAGUAACGCGUAGGAAUCUGCCUGAUAGUGGGGGAUAGCCCGAAGAAAUUCGGAUUAAUACCGCAUAAUCUAUUCGUAGUAAAGUGGGGGACUUUCGAGCCUCACGCUAUCAGAUGAGCCUGCGUAAGAUUAGCUUGUUGGUAGGGUAAAAGCCUACCAAGGCGACGAUCUUUAGCUGGUCUGAGAGGAUGAUCAGCCACAUCGGGACUGAGACACGGCCCGAACUCCUACGGGAGGCAGCAGUGGGGAAUAUUGGACAAUGGGGGCAACCCUGAUCCAGCAAUACCGCGUGUGUGAAGAAGGCCUGAGGGUUGUAAAGCACUUUCAAUUGUGAAGAAAAGUUAGCGGUUAAUAACCGUUAGCCUUGACGUUAACUUUAGAAGAAGCACCGGCUAACUCCGUGCCAGCAGCCGCGGUAAUACGGAGGGUGCAAGCGUUAAUCGGAAUUACUGGGCGUAAAGCGCGCGUAGGCGGUUUAUUAAGUCAGAUGUGAAAGCCCCGGGCUUAACCUGGGAACUGCAUUUGAAACUGGUCAACUAGAGUAUGGUAGAGGAAAGUGGAAUUUCUGGUGUAGCGGUGAAAUGCGUAGAUAUCAGAAGGAACAUCAAUGGCGAAGGCAGCUUUCUGGACCAAUACUGACGCUGAGGUACGAAAGCGUGGGUAGCAAACAGGAUUAGAUACCCUGGUAGUCCACGCCGUAAACGAUGAUAACUAGCCGUUGGGGGGAUUUACCCUUUAGUGGCGAAGCUAACGCGUUAAGUUAUCCGCCUGGGGAGUACGGCCGCAAGGUUAAAACUCAAAGGAAUUGACGGGGACCCGCACAAGCGGUGGAGCAUGUGGUUUAAUUCGAUGCAACGCGAAGAACCUUACCUGGUCUUGACAUCCUGCGAACUUUCUAGAAAUAGAUUGGUGCCUUCGGGAACGCAGUGACAGGUGCUGCAUGGCUGUCGUCAGCUCGUGUCGUGAGAUGUUGGGUUAAGUCCCGUAACGAGCGCAACCCCUAUCCUUAUUUGCCAGCACAUCAUGGUGGGAACUAUAAGGAGACUGCCGGUGAUAAACCGGAGGAAGGCGGGGACGACGUCAAGUCAUCAUGGCCCUUACGACCAGGGCUACACACGUGCUACAAUGGGAAGGACAAAGAGCCGCGAAGCCGCGAGGUGUAGCUAAUCUCAUAAACCUUUUCGUAGUCCGGAUUGGAGUCUGCAACUCGACUCCAUGAAGUCGGAAUCGCUAGUAAUCGUAGAUCAGAAUGCUACGGUGAAUACGUUCCCGGGUCUUGUACACACC